AGCAGCCGCGGUAAUUCCAGCUCCAAUAGCGUAUAUUAAAGUUGUUGCAGUUAAAAAGCUCGUAGUUGAAUUUCGGGAUUAGUACGCUGGUCGUGCCUUCGGUAUGUACUGGUGUUACUGGUUCCUACCUUCUGACGAACCGUCAUGUCAUUAAUUUGGUGUGGCGGGAAAUCAGGACUGUUACUUUGAAAAAAUUAGAGUGUUUAAAGCAGGCUCGCGCUUGAAUACAUUAGCAUGGAAUAAUGAAAUAGGACGUUCGAUCCUAUUUUGUUGGUUUCUAGGAUUGACGUAAUGAUUAAUAGGGAUAGUUGGGGGCAUUAGUAUUCAAUUGUCAGAGGUGAAAUUCUUGGAUUUAUUGAAGACUAACUACUGCGAAAGCAUUUGCCAAGGAUGUUUUCAUUAAUCAAGAGCGAAAGUUAGGGGAUCGAAGACGAUCAGAUACCGUCGUAGUCUUAACCAUAAACUAUGCCGACUAGGGAUCGGAUGAUGUUAUUUUUAAUGACUCAUUCGGCGCCUUAAC
rnacentral:rRNA from 1 species